UUCAUAUAAAUGGAGUCAGGUACCGUGUACUCUUCCGACUCCUUGACUCAUGGUUUUUAUGAAAAAUAAAGUUCGGUAUAGUCCACAUUCCCCAUCUGUUACCUGAUGUAGGUUUUCAAAACUGCCAGAAGCCCCCACCCUAGAAUUGAUGUAGGUCCCUCAUCCCAGGUCACCCAUCAUUUGCUUCUCCCUUAGGGACGAGAGGAAGAGGGUUACUUGGUUGACCAGGGAGUAGGUGAGGUGUCCCAGCACAGGGACCUACAGUGGUCCCCACUUGGAGCGGAGGACUCUGCCCCUGCCCACCUGCUCACUAAGCCCCAGCUCUUUCUUUGCUCUGCCUUUUCCUUUCUCUGCUGCCUGCAAGACUGGCCCCUCCUAUAGAGUGUGUGUUAGAAGGCUCCUUUCUCCCCAUUUUGACUCUGGGCAGGGGGACUCCCUUUGCAUAUGAAGGAGGUGUUCUCCUAGUGGAAGGGGUCUGUCUUCUGAGGUGAUAUCCAGGAAGCUGUUCCUGUCCCCUUCUUUAGAUGCUAGAAAUACAUCCUGAUUGUGAUCCUGGAGUGGGGACUGGGGAGGGGAAAGCCUAGCAGGGGCAGAGCCAGAGUCAGGCAAAGGGAAGGAAGCUGAUGGGGGAAGGAUCUGGAACUAGCGGGCUUUCCCCGGCUAGAGGUAGAGACCAUAACAUUCCCCCUGACCUCCCCUUCCCCCUUGCCCCUCUUUCUCUACCCGGACCCCUAUGCGAGGAUUAGUUGUGUAUUGAUUUUUAAGUUAUAAGCAAAAGGUAUUUUAUUUAAUAUUAGGGCACGUGUGUGUGCAUGUUGUUUGUACGUGUGUGUGUGUUUCUCUACUGAGCCUGGGGUCUCCAGCUAGAGAGACCCCACCUUGUUCACCCCGUCCAAGGUCCUAGGACAUAGGCCCACAGCGUCUCUUCCUCCCUUAGGGAUGCUGGAGCCCAGUCCCCAGGACUGGGAGCUAAAUGGGAAGUGGGUCUGGGGUCUGGGUAGGAAUAUGUGUUUGUGUAAAAAAGGGAGCCCUUCUUAAAAGGGACAGGGUGACUCUCCCUGAGAGGCUCAUGGGCCUGGGGUAGUUUAAGAAGUAAUGUUCUUUCUUUUUGCUCCCUCUUUUCCCUACCUCUUGCUACCCCAACCAGAGGUCCCUUUCCUUGCUGAGAGGGUUGGGGGCAGGAGAGAUCUGGCAGCACCUGCAGGCUGCCUGGGCAGGUGGAGAGAGGGGGAGAGAGGGAGGGCACUGUGGGUGUGGGAUGCCUUUCUCCUCCACCCAUCGAAACCAGCCACCCCCUCCUGGUGCCACCAGGACAGUCUUCCCCAGUGACCAUCCUAUUGGGAACUCCUGAAUGGCUGUUCAAGGUUGUAGGGGGACACCGAUGUUCCCCCUACGGAGGCCUUGAGCUCCCAGGGUGCCGGUGCGGGCUUCGGAUAGGUUUUCUUCUGCUCCCCUCCUUCAUAGAUCUAGGUUGCUUGGCUGUCUGCCCCCCUUCUAGGCAGCCCCCUAGAGGAGAAAUGUAGGAUUUUUUUUUUCUUUUAACUGCUGUGAACCCACUUUGGGGGCGGGGGGAGGAGGAGGAAGAAACAGCCUGUGUUUUUUAUGCCAUAAUAAAGUCAUCAACCACAUCAUUGCUU